GCUGUUUCAUUAUGAAUAACUUCCUGACCCUCCUAAAUGAAUGGCCUGAGGGGAAAGACUUCAAGAAACUGAUGAAGGACCUUUCAGGACCCUCCAGGGUCCGGAUAGUGAAAUCGUGUACUUCAGUAGGCAUCUUUGUCUUCGGAGUUCCUAUCGACCUCUCGAACUCCAGUAACACACAAAUUAAGUUUUCAGAGCUAUAUCCUAUUUUGAUUGAGUGGGUUUCCUCACCAUAAAAAUGUAAAGCUAUUUAAAUGAUAAAUCCAUUUAUUAAUUGAAGAAUAUUUGGUGAUCUAUUCAAGUGUUAAUUGUCUAAAUAUUUUGUGCAUAGAGAUGUGUCUGAGAUUUAAUAACAUUAAG